GCGCUUUUACAUCAGAACUACAAGUCCCGAGAUGCACUGCGGCGGAGAGCGGCGGAAGAGGGCGGAGCCACUGUCGGCUUUCUGACAGACACUUUCAGGAAGUGCUCGAGGAGGAUCCAGCCUGACGUGUGUGUGUUCGGACGCAGAGCGAGAGCAGCACAACACACAGGAAGUGAGCCGAGAGACGGAGGAAGUGGAGGAGCAUGACAGAGUUCUGGGUGUGUUUCAGCUGCUGCGUCGCUGAGCAGCCGCAACCCAAGCGGAGGCGGAGGAUCGAUCGCUCGAUGAUCGGAGAACCCACAAACUUCAUUCAUAUGACACACGUGGGCUCUGGAGACAUGGGCCUGGGAGCUGUGGACUCGGUGCAGACGCAGAUGAAGUCUAAAGGUGGCUACGGGAGCAGCACAGCGCACAGCGUCCAGAGCUGAUCAGCUGCUGGGAGUCGUCUGAAGCAGACGCCGGAGCCAGAGAUCACGUCACCCGCGGGUGGACAUAUUUUUGUAAUGAAAGCACUGCUAUUCUUUUACUGCUUCAUCCAUUGUCCUGUACAAAACAUGCUCCAACGCUAGAGAUGGAUCUGAAUGCCUGUCAAAUGCAUGCUUGUUUCUGUGAGGAUCAAUGUUCUGAUUAGGUUUUUCUCUUGGAUCUGUAUUUACUUCAUGGUUUAAUGAUGGCUGGGCCACAUGAGAUACACAGAUACACAGAUCCAGACGCUUCAGAGCUGUUAUUAGGUCUGUAGUAACUACUUUUGGUCACGUUUUGUACCUUUCCAAUAUUCCCUGGAAAAUGGAAUAUCUUUUUUUUUUUUUUUAUCUUUUAAAUGUGCUGUGUUUGCGGUAAACUUGAAUUGUGCAUCUCACUGUAAUAUUUGUGCAAUGCUCGUAUGGGAUGCAUUGACAGGAAAGUAUUUUUGUACAAAUUGUGUUCAUUUUCAUUCUGAUGCCUGAAUAAAAUUUCAGCCUUGU